UACGUAGGGGACUAGCGUUGUUCGGAAUUACUGGGCGUAAAGCGCACGUAGGCGGUUUUGUAAGUCAGGGGUGAAAUCCCAGGGCUCAACCUCGGAACUGCCUUUGAUACUGCAAAUCUCGAGUCCGGAAGAGGUGAGUGGAAUUCCUAGUGUAGAGGUGAAAUUCGUAGAUAUUAGGAAGAACACCAGUGGCGAAGGCGGCUCACUGGUCCGGUACUGACGCUGAGGUGCGAAAGCGUGGGGAGCAAACAGG
rnacentral:rRNA from 1 species